GAAGAAGGAGAUGACGUUGUUGUAGACGAGGUCACGGUGAGCCGGUUGCCAUCGUGGCCGUGGCUGCGGCCUCGUCGAGGAGGAGGGCGACGUACGUCGGCGCCUCGGCGGGGCCGCCGGCCGUAGAUGAGGAAGAGAGGGAACCAAGCCGGGAUCGCCGCCAUGUCGUACGCCAUCUCUCAUCGCUGCGUCCAAUUAAAUCUCAGCGCCCGCAUCCACCGCAUCCAUCGUAUCCACCGCCGUCGCCUUCCAUCCUCCCCGCCAUCGCCGUCCCCCCACCACGUCGCCGACCCAGCGCCGCCAUCGCCGUCCUCCCCCACCCAGUCCAUUCUUCCCGCACCCCCUCCCUUCACCGCCGCCGGCUGCCGGCUGUCCUCGUCACGCGAUCCCGACCGGCGCUUCCUUCACGCACCUCCCACUUUCCCUCUCCCCUUUGGAUCUUCCCGUCCUCGCUGGUUCGCCGCCUCCACGCCGCCCGUACACCGAUCGCGAUCUCUGUCGUCCAGUCCGCCGCCCCUACGCCGGUCACCAUCGCCGUCAUCACCGCGCCCCUCGAUCCGACUCGAACAGAAGCAUCGCCAUUGCCGAGGCGCCGACGGGACACGAAGAUCUCCUCCUCAGCCAACUCACCGGUGACGCUGUCCAGAUCGGAACGCCAACCCUCUGUCCGUCGUCCCCAUCGCUGUGGGCAGCCCUCCAUGCUGCGCAUCGCCAUGGGUCAUCCCUGCCGGCGCCAGGAAUAUCGCAUCCUCCUCACCGGCAUCGUAGACGCGAAGAUCUCCUCCUCGGGCAACCCACCGUCGCUGUCGUGCGGCCAGCGCUACCUCUGUGGAGUUAGUGGUUGAGUGGCAAGUCCACCGCCGCUGCUCCAAGCCAAACGGCACAUUCAACACCUGUGACUCCCACUUCACCGCCACCGCCACGGCGGCGGAGAGAGAAAAACGGAGGCCGCUGGCGCUGGCGCCGAUCUCUGGGCGAACUUCCUCGACGUCCUCCUCAGCCGCCGCUGUAACAUCCAAGUGCCUCUCACGGUGGAACAAGGGGCUCCGGUGAAGGAUCCAUUAAUUCGUUAUACCAGGGGAUGCCGUUGAUGGGGCAGAGCGAGGUCCGGAUCCUCCAUUGGAGAAAAGGAUUUUUCGUAAGAGCAGGGUUGUUGGCACUGGCUCUUAGUUAUGUGUGCAAAAUUUCAGGCCAUGCAAUCAUGAUCGAGGAAGGAGGUGAGGAACUUCCACGAGAAGCUGGUUGAAGAAAAUUUCUACCUUAUUACUGAGGUACAUAGCCAUACAUUGCUAUGUCGAUCACUAUUAGUGAAGGGGAUGCUACAAGCACUUUAUUUUCUUCUUUGUGGCUCACAUGCACUAUUCUGUACCUACAUUAUAUAACCUGGGAGACAAUGCACACUUCCUUGGCUUCAUUCAUCAGCUCAUUUCCUAAGUUACAGAAUUAGAUAUUGUUCCCCCCAAUACUUAGUUCAACAAGGGCGUGUACCUGUGCUUCUUCUGAAACUUAACGAAUAGCUGCCUCCACUGCUUGAGGCACUAAAAUCAGCUUGGAGGAAUGGGAUAUAAGCAGGAGUUUAUGUAUCCAAAAUAUUUAAUCAGACUCUACAAUAUGCUGUAAAUUUGAGCUGGUCUGCCUCUGUUCAUGGGUUAAAAGUCAUGGAUGCUGGUGUUAGCCCAGACGAAAUAGCAUCAUUGCGCUCUACUGUAUUAGGAUUUUCCGUUGAAUCCUGGAUUUGCUAUUUUGUUUUGCCUCCCUCAAACAAUUGUUUCUGAUGUUAUGAUCUGAUAUAUCAUAGUUUGAACUUGAUACACAGGUAUAGUAUAAGCUGCAGUGCCAAAUUUGGACAUCUUCAGGUGUGGGACUUGAUAAAGCUUGGAGAUCAUCUCAGUGAAUGGGAGGAUGUUGAUCCUUGUAGGGUUGGGAUCACUGGUGAAUCACUUAGAGGUAUUGUAUAUGAUGAAUUCAUGAUUGCAUCCUUAUAUUGAAGUAACAUAUGGACCCUUGUAGAGCGUAUAAAAUAGUUGUGAUAGCAUUAUAAGAUGGAUCAUUUUUUUAAGUAAAAGAAUAAAAUUAAAUCAUUUUGAAUGUA